AAAAAAAAAAAAAGCACUCAUAAGGCAUCAGGGUCAGACUGGGCACCCUGCGCUUCUUCCUGCCUGCUGUCUCAGGUCUUCUCCCUCCAGUCUGACCCUGUAAGGCAUCAUCUGCAAUUUGCAGUAUAAUUUUACUCCCUAGGUCCUCAAAAGGAAUAUUAUUACAACAGAGAACAAAUGAAGUUUAAAAAAGAGUGAUAAGGCUGACAAAGAUGAAUGGAGAAGAGACACUUAAUGGGUAUAUGAUAGCUAUGGAUAAAUAUAUGCAUAAAUAUAUAAUGGUUAUAUACUACACUCACUAAAGCUUUAUUCACCACUAUAUCCUUCCAGCAGACACAAGGGCAUCCAUAGAAAUUAGAAGAAAGGAGGUUCCUUUUAAAUAUUUGAAGAGUGAGGAUUUGGGUGGGCCAUGAAGAUGAUCGCAUUUUAAGUUGUUCAUCACCUCGCCAACCCUAAUCAGCGUCCAUCCUCACCACAGCAAGCCCAAAAACGGGCUAAUGCUAAAGCUAAAGUGAGCAACAGCUGAUAAAAUAUUUGAGGGACUUCAAUCAUCCAUGGAUAACACACUGUUGACCAUAGAGUCAAACUCAAAAUACAUAACAGAGGCAAAACAAGAGAUAAGUAAGUGACACUGAAGACAGAGUUAUUCAACUCCAGACCACAGAAUCACCUAUGAUUUGCAAGACAAAAUUGAGGACUUGGAAAACAGGGGCCACCGCAGCAACCUCCGCUUCAUAGGCAUCCCUGAAAUCAUCAAAGGGUCCGUCUUACUUCAGCUACUAUCAACAACUAUCUACACAAAUACAAACAAUUGAAACUGACUAAAUUAUGACCACUUUCACAGAAUAGGCCCAGAGAGACCAGACCAACAGCAACGACCUAGACCUGUAAUUGCAAAGUUUCUCAACUUUCAGGACAAAGAGAAUAUACUUCUGGCCUACAGAAAAGACAAGAAACUCACUGUAGAUGGCCACGACCUUCUCAUCUUUCAAGAUUUCUCUGCCUCCCUGGCCCAAAAAAGACGAGACUUUGCACAAAUCUGCAAGAAACCUCAGAUUCGCGCUCCUAUACCCAGCCCGUUUGCUAGUCACUGAAAAUGGCCAGACACUGCUAUUCGACAACCCAAAAGACACCAUCAAACAUUUUGUAGAUAACCCCUGACCAUCCAUCCCCUCCCCAAAUUCACCAAGGAAAUAGUUCCUCACCGUCUUCCCUUCGAGUUAUUGAGAGACACAGGGUUUAAUCCAAGUCUCACCCUGCAUGUGUUAGGAAAAGUUGGAACAUUUUAAAAACUUUAAUUACUUUUAACUAUUGCUUUUGAUCUGCGACUUACAAGAACAAAUGUUGUAUUUUUUUCUUAUUGUUUGUUUUCUUUGCUUCGAUAAGGACAUGGAUACUCUCCCUGCACACCCCGCAGACACUAACUGGCAAGCCAUGCUCGCUGGGACUUGGUGACCGAGGAAGCACACUAGAGGGCAGGUGAUGGCGGAACAUUACAAGACACCUGGAUAGACGGGUAGGCCAACUAUUAUCUACGAUUAAGAACAAAAAUGUAAGUAUACCAGAGGCAUCCACUCUAUUCUCAAUGAUAAAAACACAUCUUUACUUACUACCAAGCAAAGAGCUAUAUAUACAAGGUGGGAUGUGCCCUGCAGGACAGGGACUGGGGCAAUGAUCUAGAUGAUUUUUUAUCAGACAGCAAUACUUCUCGAGUUAUUGCAGGGACCUACACAACUCUAUUCAAAAAGCUAGACCACACAACUAUCUCCAUGGGCCUAUCACAGUGGCAAAAUAAGAUACCAAUCCUAACAAUCCCAUAUAUUCUGAAAGCCAAAAGAGAUACAACCUAUUCAUGAAAAGCAGCCACUUACACUGAAAUGAUGUUAAAAAUCAUUCGUAGAGGCUACCUAUGCCCACAUCGUAGGCACCUCACAAACCCCACACCAAGCUUUCCUAAAAUGUGUGACACCGCAGGCAGAUUUAUUUCACUGCUUAUGGGACUGCCCACACAUAAAACGCUUCUGGAUACAAAUUAAAGAUUGAGCCAAAUCUGUCUUUCUCAACACUUACAAGUAUAUCUGUAGUAGCUAAAAAAAAUUCUUCAAUGGUGGAUACUCACUAGCCCACCUCAAAAAUAUUCCAUGUUUUCUUAAUAGAAUUGGCAGAGGCUUCCUUACAGAAGGAAACCUACACUAGCAAACUCUUCUCCACCUGGGAAAAAGCUACAUUGACACCUCAUCAUUAAAACACAAAAAUUGCUUCCAGGCCACCAAGUGGUAUGAAAGUGGCCUAUUCACUUACCUGCUGAUUAAGAGAGUGUGCAGAAUGAGAAGUCCGGAUCCAGGUCCCCAUUUAUCUUCCUAUACUUUUUCUUUCUUCCUUCUUUACUGUUCUUUUUAAAUUUUAGUUUAGUUAACAUACAGUUUUGUUAUCAUUUGUAGUUACUUAAAUGUGAAUACUUGUAAACCUUUUGUGUAUGGAAAACUAUAUACCUGAAACCAUUAUGAUGUAUGUAAGAUGCCCUUCAAUUCUUUUUAAAGGAGAAGGCAUGGCAUUUUACAAUCGGGUUGCCAGACGCAUGCACAGUAGAGUGAAAUAGACGUCUUUUUCGUUAAAGUCCGGCUUUCCACUCUACAGCACAUGCACAACUGUGAGAAUACCUGAAGAAGCAGGAAGAGGAUCUCUCCAUGGUGGUUGCUAGAAGAACCCCAAGCCGGUGAGAUUUUCUGCUGAUAGGAGCGCCAGCCCGGGUUGUCAGCUCCAGAAAUUUGUUCUGACUGCUUCUAUUCACUCAUACAUAACAAAAGCACCGGGUCAAGUGGUAAUGAGGACUGAAAUGGGAAAAGAGGAACUCCACAUGGACAUUAAGAUGACAGUCCUAUUCAUGCGAGGGGGGCUUUGGACCCCUUCCAUCUGUGCAGCAGAGGGAAGGGUAUUCUACAGAACAGCUAUGUAUUUUAAGUGCUAAAACUCACAACCUCUGAAUACGACAGGAGGCAGGAGCAUUUUCUUUCAAAUGCUAUGAUGUGUUUAAUAUAUCUUAUGAAUCUUAUUUUUAUUGUGUAUUUAUAUUUUCUAAAACUCUAUACCACUCUACCAAAUGGCAUCCAUAAAUUACAGCUUUUAUUAUUUUAGAUCACCAUAAUCACUGCAAACUGCAAGCACUGCAAACUGUUUUAGGCACUAUACUUUGAAAAGUAAAGCAUUACACAAACACUAAUAAAGUGUAUUUUUGCAUAUUGAAUAAGCAAACAGGUGCUUAGAUGAAUAGUAAGUAUGAUGCCAGCAAUUAUUAUUGCUAUGUACCUAUAUAAUCAGCUAGUUAUUACAGGUCACAACCAUUAUUUUAGCUAUCCUAUUUUGCUAUUAUAAAGCAAUACCAUUAUUUCACUGUAAUAUACAGACUCUUCUGUCAUGCAUAUACAGGUAUCUGUAAGUCAAAAGUGCAUUUUUAAGACAGCAGUUUUGUCUGUUACUGUCAUUCUCUUGCAGCAGGGAGUAAGCCUUGUUUAGUGCAGCACAAGCAUGCCAUUUACAUAACAAAUCUGUAUUAGGGGGUCAAAGAAGUGUAUGAUCUGUUAAAAUGUGUACAACGUCUUUUGUUGGGAUAUAAUAGUUUAGAGCGUGAUCCCCAACCAGUGGCUCAUGAGCAGCAUGUCGGUCUCCAACCCUUUGGAUGUUG